rnacentral:lncRNA from 1 species
UGCCUGCAUAGUUAUAGCUUGCCAUACGUUUGUAUUGGUUUUGUGGGUGUUCACUCAAAAUUGUAAAUUGUAAUUACAAAAUUGUGUUUGUGAAAUUUAGAUUCACUUUAGUACCACAUUUCGUCUAGUAUAUAUUUCACAAGUGUAUACUACGUACCGCAGUAUUCAAUGAAUAAGAUGAUGAUGACAGAAAGAACAUUAAACGUCAUGUGGCACAUAUUACAUGAAUA